UGGGCUGAUAGGACAACAAGUGAACAUUCACUCACGGAGGGACUCGCUGGAUGCUGAAUUCUGAGCAGGGUGAGAGGUGAGCCCUAGCGUCAAGGUGAUGAGGGAACUAGGUCCCACCUUCUUACCUUCUUAUACGGCUUUUUAAUUUUGGCAAAAUCGUUGAAAUAGUCUUCCACGGUGACACAGAUAAUGUCUACAGCGUUUGACCCUAAUAGCCACUUCUUCGUCAUCAAUUCAUUCAGAUGUUGCUGAAAAGCAGAAACAGAUCAUAGAAAUCAUCACCUCAAUGUCCCACGAGAGCCGAGUGCGUGUGGGAGGGAGGCACUUCCUCACCUCAACGUCCCACGAGAGCCGAGUGCGUGUGGGAGGGAGGCACUUCCUCACCUCAACGCCCCACGAGAGCUGCGUGCAGUGUGGGAGGGAGGCACUUCCUCACCUCAACGCCCCACGAGAGCUGCGUUUCACGAUGAGGACACUGGUGUUGCUUUUAAUGUGAGGUGGCCGUUCAUGUCUUUUGCCCAUUUUUCUAUAUAUUCUUUUUAAAUUUUGAAAUAAUUUCAAAUGUAAAUAUUUUCUUCUUGCUUUCUAAGUCAUAUUUGCGAAAGUUACAAGUGUCUGCCUCUUUGGGGACACUUCCACACACAUUUCUGUUCUCUUGCACAACCAGACACUGAUGAAUCAGCAACCAAUC
rnacentral:lncRNA from 1 species